rnacentral:rRNA from 1 species
AGGAAUUGGCGGGGGAGCACUACAACGGGUGGAGCCUGCGGUUCAAUUGGAUUCAACGCCGGAAAGCUUACCGGGUCAGACAGCAAUAUGAAGGUCAAGCUAAAGACUUUACCGAAUUCGCUGAGAGGAGGUGCAUGGCCGUCGUCAGUUCGUAUCGUGAGACAUCCUGUUAAGUCAGGCAACGAGCAAGACCCGUGCCCACAGUUGCCAGCAUACCCUCCGGGGUGAUGGGCACACUGUGGGGACCGCCGCUGCUAAAGCGGAGGAAGGUGCGGGCUACGGUAGGUCAGUAUGCCCCGAAUCAUCCGGGCUACACGCGGGCUACAAUGGUUGGGACAAUGGGCACCUACACCGAGAGGUGAUGGUAAUCUCCUAAACCCAGCCUUAGUUCGGAUUGAGGGCUGCAACUCGCCCUCAGAAGCCGGAAUCCG